rnacentral:rRNA from 1 species
AAUAGAUACCCGGGUAGUCCACGCCCUAAACGAUGUCUACUAGUUGUCGGGGGGUAACUCCUUCGGUAACGCAGCUAACGCGUGAAGUAGACCGCCUGGGGAGUACGGUCGCAAGAUUAAAACUCAAAGGAAUUGACGGGGACCCGCACAAGCGGUGGAUGAUGUGGAUUAAUUCGAUGCAACGCGAAAAACCUUACCUACCCUUGACAUGCCACUAACGAAGCAGAGAUGCAUUAGGUGCCCGAAAGGGAAAGUGGACACAGGUGCUGCAUGGCUGUCGUCAGCUCGUGUCGUGAGAUGUUGGGUUAAGUCCCGCAACGAGCGCAACCCUUGCCAAUAGUUGCUACGAAAGGGCACUCUAUUGGGACUGCCGGUGACAAACCGGAGGAAGGUGGGGAUGACGUCAAGUCCUCAUGGCCCUUAUGGGUAGGGCUUCACACGUCAUACAAUGGCUGGUACAGAGGGUUGCCAACCCGCGAGGGGGAGCCAAUCCCACAAAACCAGUCGUAGUCCGGAUUGCAGUCUGCAACUCGACUGCA